CUGACACUGCCCCCUCCGCGGCUAUGAAAUGAAAUAUUUAUUGGAAGCUACAUGCUGCCUGGAGGCCACAAUUUUCAGGACAAACGGAAAAUGAAUCACAUCCUAAAGAAAACCAUUGGUGAAACUAUGCCAAGAAUGCCAUCUGCACUGGGAUCAGGUCUUGUCCAUCACCCUCCUUCAGCUACUAUUGCAAGAUGCGAUUGGACUGAUUUCCUAAUGAACACUGGAACCUGAGGUCAUAAGCUGCACAAGACCACAAGGAAAGGGUGAGAACUAUGUGCCUGUGGAAUGAGGAAGGAAGAUGGCAGCU